GAGGAAAAAAGGAAAAAAAAAAAAAACAAUAGUGGAUACGAGAGAGAGAGAGAGAGCAAGCAAGCUAGUGCGGAUAGGAAGAGGGAAUGGCAGCGAACGUUUUGAAAUGCGGCACGGGAAUAGGCGCGCGUCUGAUAUUCCUAUCUCCGUCUCCUAAAUCUCCACGGCCCUUUGGGCAUUCACUUGCUCAUUUCCACCAAAUCACUGCGAAUAGUUAUCGUAGUAUUUGUAGCAAACCGAAAGUUUGUGAUUCUGCUGCUGAUGCGUCAUCACCAUCGGCAAGAAGAAGAAGCGUGGUCUCCUCUUUUUGCGCCGCCACAGAUGUUGAGAAGGCACAGGUAGAGGCAGAGGCGAUAAGCGAUGGUGAUGAGGAACAGAAAAAGAUAAAGGAUGCAGCCGACCUGCUUGACAUAAGGGUUGGGCUAGUCCUUAGGGCAUGGAGGCAUGAGGAAGCUGAUUCUCUUUACGUGGAAGAGGUUGACAUCGGAGAGCCUGAACCCAGAAUCAUCUGCAGUGGGCUCGUCAAUUACAUUCCUAUUGAUCACAUUCAGGAGAGAAAAGUAGUUGUCCUUGCUAAUCUGAAGCCCAGGAACAUGCGGGGUGUCAAGUCUUGUGGAAUGCUUAUGGCCGCUUCUGAUGCUUCCCAUGAGAAUGUUGAGCUUCUUGUGCCUCCUGAGGGUUCACUUCCUGGCCAAAGGAUAUGGUUUGGCUCUGAAGAUGAUCAUCAAAAUCAGCCUCCUCCUGCCACACCCAACCAGGAUAAGUGUUUCACAAUGCCCUCACCAUCUAAAGGUUUUCCUUCUCAAUCUCUCUUUUGAGCAUGACAUCUUCCUAAGCCAAGUUGUUAAUCUUUCAAGGUCUGAGAUAUUUUCCCCAAGAUUACUCUAGUUCUUCGUACUCUCAUUCAUAGUAUGGCAAAGUGUGAACAACCUUGACUAUCAGUUUGCCAUCCAUCUCCCAACUCCUCCCGACCUAUGAUUAUGCGUAUGAGAUACUGUCACUCACAUCUUUGGUGUGGUUUGGCGGCAGAACUUCCAGAUUCAAAAGAAAAAGAUAUGGGAGCUGGUGCAACCUCAUCUGAAGACAGAUGAUACUUGUAUGGCUAUGCUUGGGAUGCAUAUAAUGCGGACAUCUGCAGGUGUGAUAAUCAGCAGAUCUCUUAA